rfam:Brassica oleracea var. oleracea cultivar TO1000 chromosome C8, whole genome shotgun sequence
UCAGGCAUAUGAUGUUUCAAAAAUUUUGCCUACAUUGUCUGAUAAUCCAAUAAUAUCUAGUUAAAAUAAUUCCAUUCUGAGGCUUAC